CUAGCACUUGUAAUCAAUCAAAUUCAUUGUAUUAUAACUUAUUCUAACCCAAAAUAACUUUAUACAAGCCAUUCACUGCCUCAAAGCAAUGGUUUUGGGUUCUCAUCCCAUUUGUGACCAAAUAUCAACAAGUCUUUCUUCUCACUUUUAAACAUUCUUCAUGCAUCUCUAGCACUUGUAAUCAAUCAAAUUCAUUGUAUUAUAACAUAUUCUAACCCAAAAUAACUUUAUACAAGCCAUUCACUGCCUCAAAGCAAUGGUUUUGGGUUCUCAUCCCAUUUGUGACCAAAUAUCAACAAGUCUUUCUUCUCACUUUUAAACAUUCUUCAUGCAUCUCUAGCACUUGUAAUCAAUCAAAUUCAUUGUAUUAUAACAUAUUCUAACCCAAAAUAACUUUAUACAAGCCAUUCACUGCCUCAAAGCAAUGGUUUUGGGUUCUUAUCCCAUUUAUGACCAAAUAUCAACAAGUCUUUCUUCUCACUUUUAAACAUUCUUCAUGCAUCUCUAGCACUUGUAACCAAUCAAA
rnacentral:lncRNA from 1 species